rnacentral:rRNA from 1 species
UACGGGGGGGGCAAGCGUUGUUCGGAAUUACUGGGCGUAAAGGGCGCGUAGGCGGUUUGCUAAGUUGGAUGUGAAAACUCUGGGCUUAACCCAGAGCCUGCAUCCAAAACUGGCAAACUUGAGUACUGGAGGGGAAAGCGGAAUUCCUGGUGUAGCGGUGAAAUGCGUAGAGACCGGGAGGAACACCAGAGGCGAAGGCGGCGACCUGGACAGAUACUGACACUCA